ensembl:lncRNA
UGAAAAACAAAAACACCACCAAAGCUCACCUUCACCUGCAAGUGAAUAUCACACUACCCAAAUAUUUGGAUUGUGCUGGGAUUAUUUUCCGAACUUUUUUCUGCUAUCAAACGUCUGUUAUUUGUUCUUCAAGAAGAUUCAAAGAUCUCUGGAACACUCGAGAGAAAAACUAAAGACUUGGAUAAAGUGCAAGUGACUGUUCAUCAGUGGACAAAGUAUCAAACAAAAUGGGGAACAAGACGUCAUCAGAUGAUCAGGGAGAACGGAGAUGCACUGAUCUGGACGUGCCUCUCUUGACACCAGACAUCUUCAACACCGUGAUCACCAUGUUCCAGAAUGACGUAGCCUCUGAGCAGUGGAGGCAGCUGGUGGCCGGAUGGGUGGAUGUAGACACCUUCAUCCUGCUGUCAGACAUGUGUAAGGAGAUGGUGGAUGCAAUCAGCGUCUCAAUCCUGGAAGCCGUGGAGCCUCAAGUCACUAAUGGUGGCGCCAGUAGCAGCUCCAUCACAGGGACUGAAACUCAACCGAAGAGGCAGCAUCAUAUUUACAGGGUAACAGAAGAAGCCAUCCGAUGCAGCCUUGGAGAUUCCCUCCAUCGCUGCUUUGGUGAGGCGCUGGGAUUAGAACAGGAGAGAACCCACGAGUCGGAGAAACUGGUGGAGCUGUUUGGAUUCGAGGUGAUGAAAAAGGUGAACCACAAACUGGCUCUAAUGGAGGCACCGACCUCUUCCCAGCAGACGAAGACGUCAGAAGCUUCAGCUGCAUCUCAUACUGAAGACAUGGCUCGUCUUGUAGCUGAUAUAUUGAGAAAGUGCAAAAAACACCAGGCAUGGCUGGACAGUGAUGAGUCGGGAGGUUGUUGUCCAGACGAGGUGACACCUGUAGAGGAACUGAGAGCAGAAGGAGCUGAACCAACACAGAGUUCAGACCAGGCAGGUUGUCUGAGACAAGACUGUUCAACCAGCUCUACAGAGGAGGUACUGCCAAAUGAGACCUUUCUCGCUACGUUUCUGUGGAGGCUGCUGGAUCACAUCGCCACCGAGACAAGAACACCAAUCCCUGUGGACUUUUAUGGGAUGCUGGUCCGUUUGAUUGAGAGCACUGAGGAAGAACUAACUUCCGCUCUCCCACAGACUCCUUCAAACCUCCAUGUCUGCAUCUACAAAAAGCUUUGCCAGGAGUUUGGAUCUGCAGAGGAGCUGCUGUCUGCUGUGGCGUCCAACCCAGUGGCCUUUGAAGAAGCUGCUGCCAGGACAUUGAAAGCAAAGCUGGCGAAAUCUAAAAAAAACGUGAGCUUUGUCAAAAAAGUGAGCAGAUUUUUCCGCAAAAAGACCAGCAAGGUCACUCAAGGCUGUGAGAAGAACACAAGUGAUGUCAGAAAACAGGAGAGUGGGCCUCAGGAGAAGAAAAGCUUCAGAAUUCUAUUGAAAACCAUCUGAGGCAGAUAUAUUCCACGUACUCACAUGCCUUUCAGCAACCAAUAUCCAUUCCUGUCUUUAUGUAUCAGUAAACAUUAAUAAACAUUUUCAUUGCAAAAAAAUUAUCAUCAAUGUAAAAAAAG